GACACAGAAGGUGACAAGGGGGGGACAGCGCGAGGACACCUCCGCCUCGUCCCCGCCGGGGUUUGGGCUGUGGUGGGAGGGCGGCGCCCCACGAGGGAUGGCGGCACCCCACAAGGGAUGGCAGCAUCCCACGAGGGACGGCAUCACCCUUCUGGGGACGGCGUCACCCUUUUGGGGACCCUUCACCCUUUGGGGACAGCGUCACCCCUUUGGGGACAGUGCCACCCUUUGGGGACCCUUCACCCUUCUGGGGUUGGCGUCACCCUUUUGGGGACCCUUCGCCCUUUUGGGGGCCAGGCGCCACCCACCUCCUCGAGCAGCUCGAGCCCCCCGCGGGGCAGGGGGCCGGCGUGGCGCAGCUGCUCCAGCAGCCCCUCCAUGGCCUCCAGGCGGGCGCAGUGACGCCGGUGCCGCUGCUGCAGCACCUUCACCUUGCGCUGCAGCACCAGCACCACGCCCAGCAGCUCCCCGGUGCUCAGCUCGCCCCGCGCCGCCUCCGCC
rnacentral:lncRNA from 1 species